GAAAAGAAACCAACAGGGAUCCCCCUAGUAACGGCGAGUGAAGCGGGAAGAGCUCAAAUUUGAAAUCGUGCGCGGGUAACCGUGUCAUGAAUUGUAAUUUGAUGAGGUAUGCUUGGUGAACGCCCGGGUUAAAGUCCUUUGGAAAAGGGCAUCAUAGAGGGUGACAAUCCCGUUUAUGGCCUGGUCAGCGGUUUAUCGUGUAAGCUACCUUCAAAGAGUCGGGUUGUUUGGGAAUGCAGCCCUAAGCUGGUGGUAAAUUCCAUCUAAGGCUAAAUAUUCGUGAGAGACCGAUAGCGAACAAGUACCGUGAGGGAAAGUUGAAAAGCACUCUGGAGAGAGAGUCAAACAGCACGUGAAAUUGUUAACAGGGAAACGUUGGGCCCCAGUACGCGCCUCGCGUAAAAUCAACCAUUUCUUCCUAAUGAUGCAGGUUAGGGUGGAGGAGUCGUUAACGCGGCCCUUGCCUUAUUCCUCGUCUGAUGGGGUGGUGCACUUUUGCGUGGGCGGGUCAACAUCGGUUAAGUCCGUCGGAAACUCCUGGGUUGAAUGUUGGCGAUGGCAACUGACCCACUUAUAGCCUCCCUUGAAUGCGAUGGACUUGACCGAGGAGUCGCGGCUCGUGCCCUUGGGCAGACCCCCUAUUCCCUCAGAUCCUGCUUUGGCCGGACAGCUUGCUGACCUGUCUUAGUUGGGUGAAGAUGUGGUGUGGGUAGGGUCUAACGAGCCUCGGACGUGCAAAAUUA
rnacentral:rRNA from 1 species